GGUAAAGGGAAAUUUCGUAACAGACAGACCGGAGCUGACAAGAGAAAUAAACGUCACAAAUUGUGGUUACUGGAUUAAAGAAAACGACAAGAAAACGUGGCUGAACUGGCAUGCAGGACUUGCAAAAGUUGACGUUGCAUCCGUGGUGGUCAUAUGUUUCAAAAUCAAUGUAGAAGAUGUAGUCUUGUCGAUCGUUUUUCUAGUCACCAGCUGAAAACCAUAGCGGGAGAUACAGUAGUCCAGAGAAAAUUUUACUGAAGAGAACCAAGAUUUUUAACCAUUUAGACUUGUCAUGAACUAUGCUAGAGCAAGAAUUAAGAAUCGUAUAGAACGAAACAUAUAUAUUUUAGAAAACAUGAAGUAUAGAUGUGUUUGUGGAAAACAUAGUAUUUUAUGUCAAAUAUACAUAUGUAUAGAAUAGAAAAGGGAAAUUAAGUUGAUAAUAAAUUAGAUAAAAUAACUUUCUGCCGUGGUAUAUAUCUCAACUACCUGAAAAAGAUUAUUGAGGAUUUGAGCGCCUUUAUUUGAAGAUUGACUAUAAAAGGUAUUAAACCUUAAUUUCUGACGAAGGGCAGUUUGUUUGGCUCGAAAUAUUUAUCAAUCAUUUUCAGGCAGUUCAGAGCGGGUAAACUGCAGCAGAUUAUUGAUGCAGAAUGGUACCUAUACAAUGUACCUCGCACACGUUUGGGAUGAAGACGUUUCUCAACAAUAACAAAUUUUGUGUUUAUAACCGUUUAAUUUAUAAGAACUGUAUGUGAAAAACAGUAUAAUAGCCCAAAGGGCCCUAAAACGCUUGUAUUAAACAUUGUAAAAUCACCACCUGUAAAUAUCAUCAUUCGUAUAUGUUUAUAUAUCAUAAAUAAUUGUAGUGGGGAGUAAUGGUAUAUAUGUAAACUUAACGUGUAUAUUUUGGUUAUUGUAGAAAUAUAUUGAAGGGGAC